UAGGGAAUAUUGCACAAUGGGGGAAACCCUGAUGCAGCGACGCCGCGUGAGUGAUGAAGGCCUUCGGGUCGUAAAGCUCUGUCGCAAGGGAAUAACAAAGUGAAUGUACCUUGCAAGAAAGGAUCGGCUAACUUCGUGCCAGCAGCCGCGGUAAGACGAGGGAUCCUAGCGUUGUUCGGAAUUAUUGGGCGUAAAGCGGGUGUAGGUGGCCAUGUAAGUCAGAUGUGAAAGCCCAGGGCUUAACCCUGGAAGUGCAUUUGAUACUGCGUGGCUUGAGUGUGGGAGAGGAUAGUAGAAUUCCUGGUGUAGUGGUGAAAUACGUAGAUAUCAGGAGGAAUACCGGAGGCGAAGGCGGCUAUCUGGCCUAACACUGACACUCAGACCCGAAAGCGUGGGGAUCAAACAGG
rnacentral:rRNA from 1 species